ACGGUUUUCACAAUACUAGAAUGAGGAAUAAGAAACAACACUAUUAUCAUUACGGCCUGGAAAAACUAGAAAAACUAUAUUUAUCUAUCGAUUCAAUGUUUGUCCACGAAGACAUAAACUAAGAAGAAGUGACUUAACAUGAUUUGCUAACUUGGAGUAAAGUAAUCGACAACUGAAUCAUCUUCAAUAAUCCUACACUCUUCCCCUUUUCCUUAUGCUUAGGUAGAAACACAGUAAUUACCUCUGGGGUGAAGGUGAGGCCCACUG
rnacentral:misc_RNA from 1 species